AUUGAACGCUGGCGGCAGGCCUAACACAUGCAAGUCGAGCGGAAACGAAGGGAGCUUGCUCCCAGGCGUCGAGCGGCGGACGGGUGAGUAACACGUGAGAAUCUGCCCAUAGUGGGGGACAACUCGGGGAAACUCGAGCUAAUACCGCAUAAUCCCUACGGGGGAAAGCAGGGGACCUUUUGGCCUUGCGCUGAUGGAUGAGCUCACGUCGGAUUAGCUUGUUGGUGAGGUAAAGGCUCACCAAGGCGACGAUCCGUAGCUGGUCUGAGAGGGUGAUCGGCCACACUGGAGCUGAGACACGGUCCAGACUCCUACGGGAGGCAGCAGUGGGGAAUUGUUCGCAAUGGGCGCAAGCCUGACGACGCAACGCCGCGUGGAGGACGAAGAUCUUCGGGUCGUAAACUCCUGUCGAGCGGGACGAAUGCCUUGCGGGUGAAUAAUCCGCGGGGGUGACGGUACCGCUAAAGGAAGCCCCGGCUAACUCCGUGCCAGCCGCCGCCGUAA
rnacentral:rRNA from 1 species